CAACUACUCCCUCUGUCCCAAAUUUCUUGUCUUAGAUUUGUCUAGAUACGGAUGUAUCUAAUCCUUAUCUAGACAAAUCUAAGACAAGAAUUUUGGGACGGAGGGAGUACUUU
rfam:Triticum aestivum genome assembly, contig: Triticum_aestivum_CS42_TGACv1_scaffold_577930_7BL